UCUUCUCCUUUCUACUUAGAUUGUGAGCCCAGUUAAGGACAACUUUAUUAACCUGUAUCCACCUCAUCACUUAGAUUUGCGAAUAUACAGUCCCAGGUCAGGAAUUACUCAUCUGCAACAGGUGUUUCCAGAAUGGCGAUUCAGUCCGGUUUGGCCAGAAAGGGGAUGGAAGUGGACCACUAAGGAGGAAAACAGCAGGAGGUGAGGAAACCAGAAGGACAGAAUGAGCUUUAACCCAGGUUGAGGACACCUGGACUCAAGACUUCAUUCCUACUGGGAGAAGAUAAGCCCUCCACUAGCUCCAGAAACUUAUCCAACAUUUGCUCUUGCCAAUGUGAGCAGGCAGAGACAAUAAGCUCUUUUGAGGCUUUCAGCUUUCUCAUCUUAACUGUUUUCCAACUCACUCACUGCAUUAGUCUUUUCUUACAACAAAGAGAAGGAAGCCCACAUUCUUUAGUCAACUGAGUGACCUUGGGUCUCCUUGUCCAAACCAUGAGGCCGAGUACCCAGUGGGUCAGCCAACACACUGCUCUUCCCAGCAUCUUUUGGUGCCACCGUCCAAGAUGGAACUGUGCACUACACUCACCGGAUGUCAUGAAGUGCUCUGUGUAUUGGUGCAUCUUGAUGGACUCGAGCCACUCGGACACGGUGCGGAAGGGGAUUCCCUCGGAGCCGCUGGUGCUGGGCAGGCGUAUGGAGACUCUGCAAGGACCCAGAUCCUCAGGAUAAGGGGCUGAGGUGGAGCCCCGGAGGCAACCCCCAGGACACCAAAGACCUCCCAGGGUCCAGAGGCUCUGCUCCAUUCAGCCCCCUCAGCCUCACCCCACAGGAGCCAGGACCAAUCAGCCAGCCACACAUGGGAAUCCCCGGUGGAUGGGAACAGGAUGCAGCCUCAA